UACGUAGGGACCGAGCGUUGUCCGGAAUCAUUGGGCGUAAAGAGCGUGUAGGCGGCUCGCUAAGUCUUGCGUGAAAUCUCGGGGCUCAACCCCGAGCGGUCGUGAGAAACUGGCGGGCUAGAGUGCGGGAGAGGAGAGUGGAAUUCCUGGUGUAGCGGUGAAAUGCGCAGAUAUCAGGAGGAACACCAAUGGCGAAGGCAGCUCGCUGGGACGUGACUGACGCUGAGACGCGAAAGCGUGGGGAGCAAACAGG
rnacentral:rRNA from 1 species